rnacentral:rRNA from 1 species
AUGCCUUAGUAACUGCGAGUGAAGCGGCAAGAGCUCAAAUUUGAAAUCUGGCACUUUUAGUGUCCGAGUUGUAAUUUGUAGAAGUGUCUUUUGAUUCAGUCCUUGCAUAUGUUCCUUGGAACAGGACAUCAUAGAGGGUGAGAAUCCCGUUCAUGGUGGGGAGUCUGUUUCUUUGUAAAGCACUUUCGACGAGUCGAGUUGUUUGGGAAUGCAGCUCUAAGUGGGUGGUAAAUUCCAUCUAAAGCUAAAUAUUGGCGAGAGACCGAUAGCGAACAAGUACAGUGAUGGAAAGAUGAAAAGAACUCCGAAAGGAGAGUGAAAAAGGACGUGAAAUUGUUGAAAGGGAAGUGCUUGAGAUCAGUCUUAGGUUUUGGUGAUCAGUUUUCCUUUUGGUUAAUGCACUCGCCUUUGCCUAGGCCAACAUCAGUUUUCGCGAUAGGAUAAUGACUUUGGAAUGUGGCUCUCUCGGGAGUGUUAUAGCCUUUGUUGAUACUAUUUGCUUGGACUGAGGACUGCGCUUUUGCUAGGAUGUUGGCAUAAUGAUCUUAAGCAGCCCGUCUUGAAACACGGACCAAGGAGUCUAACAACUAUGCAAGUGUUUGGGUGUUAAACCCGUACGCAUAAUGAAAGUGAACGUAGGUGGGAACCUUAGGGUGCACCAUCGACCGAUCCUGAUGUUUUCGGAUGGAUUUGAGUAAGAGCAUAGCUGUUGGGACCCGAAAGAUGGUGAACUAUGCCUGAAUAGGGUGAAGCCAGAGGAAACUCUGGUGGAGGCUCGUAGCGGUUCUGACGUGCAAAUCGAUCGUCAAAUUUGGGUAUAGGGGCGAAAGACUAAUCGAACCAUUGAUUUUGGCUUCGAAGUAUUUGUGCAGCACAUCUGCUGAGUUGCAAGUAUUUUGAAUUAUGAAAUUUUUUCGUAAGUGCUACUAGGUGGUUAAGAGGCGACUAAAAGAGUCAGCCUAGUCCGAAAGGGCGACAUUGUCAAAUUGCGGGGACCUCCUAAAGAUACUGCUACUAAGCGACGACUGAAAGGUCGGCGUGGCCGGGGUGAUGACCUAGGGUAUAGUAAAAACGCAGUAUAUGAUCUUCGAGAGAAGUGAAAUGGAAAACCUGCAGCCAAGUCCUAAACUCGCGAGAGCAAGGAUGCAGUUCACAGACUAAAUGGCAGUGGGUUCUGAUUGAAUCAGGGCUUAAGAUAUAGUCGGACCGCCUUGAAAGAGGUCUGGCAGGAAGACGUACAAAGUGCGAG